rnacentral:tRNA from 1 species
AAAGCUAUUAAUUUUCAAU